GACGUAGGGGGCCAGCGUUGUUCGGAAUUACUGGGUGUAAAGGGUUCGUAGGCGGUGCGGCAAGUUGGGAGUGAAAUCUCUGGGCUUAACCCAGAGGCUGCUUCCGAAACUGCUGUGCUUGAGUGUGGGAGAGGCGCGUGGAAUUGCAGGUGUAGCGGUGAAAUGCGUAGAUAUCUGCAGGAACACCCGUGGCGAAAGCGGCGCGCUGGACCACUACCGACGCUGAGGAACGAAAGCUAGGGGAGCAAACAGG
rnacentral:rRNA from 1 species